AAAUGAAUAGACGGGGGCCCGCACAAGCGGAGGAACAUGUGGUUUAAUUCGAUGAUACGCGAGGAACCUUACCCGGGCUUGAAAUGCAUCUGACGAUAUUUGAAAGAAUAUUUCUAGCAAUAGCAGAUGUGUAGGUGCUGCAUGGUUGUCGUCAGCUCGUGCCGUGAGGUGUCGGCUUAAGUGCCAUAACGAGCGCAACCCUUGCGAUUAGUUGCUAACAGGUAGUGCUGAGGACUCUAAUUGGACUGCCAUCGUAAGAUGCGAGGAAGGUGGGGAUGACGUCAAAUCAGCACGGCCCUUAUGUCCGGGGCGACACACGUGUUACAAUGGGGGGUACAACGGGCAGCUACACAGCGAUGUGAUGCUAAUCUCUAAAAACCUCUCUCAGUUCGGAUCGGAGUCUGCAACUCGACUCUGUGAAGCUGGAUUCGCUAGUAAUCGCGCAUCAGCCAUGGCGCGGUGAAUACGUUCCCGGGCCUUGUACACACCGCCCGU
rnacentral:rRNA from 1 species